ACUAAUCGACAGUCAACAAUUCCAUACUGAGAAGCUGCGAUUUGCUGAGCACAGUCAGUGUCCUGCAGACAUGACCGGAUAUAGUCCCUGCCCUCAAGGGGUGAGGGUAUUCCCAGGGAUGAGGACACCUGGGACAGAGAAGGCAUCCCAGAGGAAAGGCUAUGUGAGGACACAGGGAGAAGACAGCCAUGUACAAGGCAAGGAGCAAGCUCUCUCCAGAAACUGAUCCUGCUGGUACCUUGAUCUUGGACUUCCAGCCUCCAGAACCACGAGAAAAUAAAUGUCUGCUGUUUAAGCCA